AUACCAUGAUGAGGACACUUUCUGAUUAAGUCCUUGAACCCUCUCCCAAGACUCAUAGAGAGACUCAUUCUCUUGUUGACAGAAAUUGUUGAUCUCUCCUCGCGGCUU